CCCUUAGAUGUUCUGGGCUGCACACGUGCUACACUGGCAGGUUCAGCGAGCUUCAUGCCCUGAUCUGAAAGGAAUGGGAAAUCUUUUCAAAACCUGCCGUGCUUGGGAUAGAUGUUUGCAAUUAUUCAUCUUCAACGAGGAUUGCCUUGUAAGCGCACGUCAUCAGCGUGCAUUGAAUACGACCCUGUAUUCUGUACACACCGCACGUCGCUCCUACCGAUUGAAGUUUUCGGUGAGUUGACAGGAGGAUUUUUUUGAAACUGGUUCGCCAGUGGAUUUUAGAUCCAAAUGCCAACGAAUCGAUGGCUUUAGAGGAAGGAGAAGUCGUAACA
rnacentral:rRNA from 1 species